rnacentral:rRNA from 1 species
CGAACGCUGGCGGCGUGCCUAAUACAUGCAAGUCGAACGAGAGCGACCGGUGCUUGCACUGGUCAAUCUAGUGGCGAACGGGUGAGUAACACGUGGGUAACCUGCCCAUCAGAGGGGGAUAACAUUCGGAAACGGAUGCUAAAACCGCAUAGGUCUUCGAACCGCAUGGUUUGAAGAGGAAAAGAGGCGCAAGCUUCUGCUGAUGGAUGGACCCGCGGUGCAUUAGCUAGUUGGUGAGGUAACGGCUCACCAAGGCCGUGACGCAUAGCCGACCUGAGAGGGUGAUCGGCCACAUUGGGACUGAGACACGGCCCAAACUCCUACGGGAGGCAGCAGUAGGGAAUCUUCCGCGAUGGACGCAAGUCUGACGGAGCAACGCCGCGUGAGUGAAGAAGGUUUUCGGAUCGUAAAACUCUGUUGUUAGAGAAGAAUAAGUGCUAGAGUAACUGUUAGCGCCUUGACGGUAUCUAACCAGAAAGCCACGGCUAACUACGUG